UACGAAGGGUGCAAGCGUUACUCGGAAUUACUGGGCGUAAAGCGUGCGUAGGUGGUUUGUUAAGUCUGUUGUGAAAGCCCCGGGCUCAACCUGGGAAUGGCAAUGGAUACUGGCAGGCUAGAGUGCGGUAGAGGGUAGUGGAAUUCCCGGUGUAGCGGUGAAAUGCGUAGAGAUCGGGAGGAACACCAGUGGCGAAGGCGGCUACCUGGACCAGCACUGACACUGAGGCACGAAAGCGUGGGGAGCGAACAGG
rnacentral:rRNA from 1 species